rnacentral:ncRNA from 1 species
CGGAGUAGGUGAAUAAGCGUUAAGUGCUGAUGGAACGGAAUGUGAACAUCGGACGAAGAAUUAAUUCGCGAUUUAUUCACCGCAUUCGCCG